UAAUACGGAGGGUGCAAGCGUUAUCCGGAUUCACUGGGUUUAAAGGGUGCGUAGGUGGGUAAGUAAGUCAGCGGUGAAAUCUCCGAGCUUAACUCGGAAACUGCCAUUGAUACUAUUUAUCUUGAAUAUUCUGGAGGUGAGCGGAAUAUGUCAUGUAGCGGUGAAAUGCUUAGAUAUGACAUAGAACACCAAUUGCGAAGGCAGCUCACUACGGAGUUAUUGACGCUGAGGCACGAAAGCGUGGGGAUCAAACAGG
rnacentral:rRNA from 1 species